rnacentral:rRNA from 1 species
UACGAAGGGGGCUAGCGUUGCUCGGAAUCACUGGGCGUAAAGCGCACGUAGGCGGCUUCUCAAGUCAGGGGUGAAAUCCUGGAGCUCAACUCCAGAACUGCCUUUGAUACUGAGGGGCUCGAGUCCGGGAGAGGUGAGUGGAACUGCGAGUGUAGAGGUGAAAUUCGUAGAUAUUCGCAAGAACACCAGUGGCGAAGGCGGCUCACUGGCCCGGUACUGACGCUGAGGAGCGAAAGCCAGGGGAGCAAAGCGGG